AUACGCUAUACGUUUGAAUUUCGUAAAAAAAUGUUGACCCGUUUUUGAGAUAUCGAAUUUUGAAAAAAUGAAAUUCAAUAUUUUUUUAAAAAUCCAAAUAACAAAAAAUUGAACUUUUGAUAAUCAAAUAUUGUUAAAGCAAUAUAAGAGCUUAUUCAGAAAAAAAAAUUAUUGAAAUCGGUUUAUAAGUUGCUGAGAAAAUUAAAAAACAAAAUAACGGUUCUAUGAGCGGUACCUUUCCUGAGCAAUACAAAAAUUUGUUUUUCUUAUUAAAAGCAGCCAAAUUAAAAAAUAAAAUUAAGAGAAAAUUUAAAGAAAAUCUAUCGGUUUGUUUUUGAGAAAAUUCAAAAUUUUCGUUUUUGUAUGGUGUCCACUGUUAGUUUUGAUCUUAAAAAAAAAAAUGAAAAAAACGCCUUACGCGAAUCUGCUCAAAACCUUAACUUCCAAGUUUGGACUCAAUCGAAGCAAUGGUUUAGGCUGCAGGAACGUGGACAGACCGACAAAACCGACCGGACGGAAUCGCGGGACAAACUUUUUUCGACUUCUCUACCAUCGUAAUAUCAAUAUCGUAAUAUCCCGAGUUCGAAAUUUUGCACGAAUGCAAAACUUGCCAUAUAGUUCCUAAGCAACAAACACUUUCACUUACAGGAGCGAUAUUUUUAGUGGUUCGAUCGAAACGAUGAUGCACUUGCCUUAUAAUAUCUGUAAUCAAUCCAAUGUCUUCAAAUUUGUUCACAAUUUUGCAAAUUGCUUGUGUAAAUGAACGAUUAUCAUGAAUUUAAAAAAAUCAAAUUGACAGUUUAUUUUAUAAAAAAUAAAAAACUUAUACUAACACUAGCUGCCCGGUACGUGCUUCGCUACGUAUAAGGCAUAGUAAUAAAAAAAUCAUUAUUAAGUUCAUUUAUUCAAACAAAAAAAUAUUUUAAAUUACUAGCUAUUUAAAACUCCAUUAUAUUUACAUUAUUAUAUUUAUCAGUUAACAGUAAAAACUAAAAAUUAAAAAAUAAUUUGGGACUCUUACUAUGUGUUAGUGUAAAACAGUUGGAUAAACAAUAUUUUUAGUUUUUCCAUUUUGAGCAUGAAUGAAUAAACAGUUGGGUGUACCGACUCUGGAAAAGGCAACAUAAAGUUGGCCAUGUGAAAAACAUGAUUAAUCCAAAUUGGCACCACAAACUUGAAGUGUUUGCCCUUCGGCCUUAUUUAUGAACAUCGCAAAUGAUAAACGCUUAGGAUAUUCUAAUCUUUUGAAUUCAAAUGUCAUGUUAGUUGGAAUCAUAGGGAUACGCAGUAUCAACCACACUUCUCCUUUUGAUUUACCAGUAAAGAUUGUAGCUUCAAUCAAAUUUGGCCAUAACUUUUUCACUGCCAAUCUGGUGCCAUUACACAGUUUUGGUGGAUUAAUAUUUCGCAAUAAUAUAAUCAAAGAACUAAUUUUCAGAUUCAACCAGCCGGUUCGAAUGAAUUUAAAAAUUCAAUUGGAUAAUUCAUUGCCUCAUCUUGAUUCAUAACACUGUCAAUUGAUUUAUAUGUCGUGACUACACCUGGCAGUUUCGCUUGAACUUGAAAAUAAAUGGCAUUGAUAUAAAUAUUUGUGCUAAAAUGAUGCGUUCUCUCAAACAAUCAUGAUUUAUCUAAUUGUGAAGAAUAUUCGGAAAAAUACAUUUAAUCAACUCAUCUAUAGAUUGCGCAAUUGUACAAACCUUCUCUGGACUUACAAACCUUAACGUACAAACCUUCUCUGGACUUCCACGAAUAAUUCAAGACCAAAAUUAACCAAAUCGUUAAAAUCCAUUUUGCACCGCUUUGGAACAGGCCCUGGAUUGGAUCUACUUAAAAUGACGGCCCAAUCUGUGGCAUCUAACAGGGAAUGGGUAGCAAAGUCUCAAUCAUCACUUUACAAUUGGAUAGAGAAUAAUUUACGUGUUAUAUAGUAAUCCAUAUUGUGUGCAAAUUUAAUGAAAUAAACUUUUGUAUGUACCUUAA